AUUGAACGCUGGCGGCAGGCCUAACACAUGCAAGUCGAGCGAGAGGCAGACGUGUGAGUAAUGGAUGGGGACUGACCGCUCGAGGGGGAUAACUACUGGAAACGGUGGAUACUACCGCAUACUAUCGGAUAACCCAUAUGGGAUUAGCUAGUAGGUGUGGUAAAGGCUAAGCUAGACGAAGAUCUCUAGCUGGUCUGAGAGGCGUAUGACGCACACUGGGACUGAGACACGGCCCCGACGCCUACGGAGUCAGCAGUGGGGAAUAUUGCACAGUGGGCGCAAGCCUGAUGAAUCCAUGCCGGGUAGAUGAGGAAGUACUUAGGGUUGUAAAGUACUUUCAGUGGGGAGGCGUUACCCGCAGACGAAGCCCCGGCUAACUCCGUGCCAGCAGCCGCGGUAAUUC
rnacentral:rRNA from 1 species